CAACUUUUUCCAACGCAUAUCUUGGGUCUCUCAUCUAUGAAAGAGACACAGCAAAGUGAUAAAAAAUGUGAAUAUUGCAAAUUUCUGAAUCAUCUAAUCUUUUAAAACACCUUGUGCUCCUUGUGAUUCCCAGAAGAAUGCGUGUUUGAGUGUCAUG
rnacentral:rRNA from 1 species